rnacentral:lncRNA from 1 species
AGGGCUGACUGGAACAGAAUCACCAGCUGCUGAUGGCAUGUACAUCACUGGGCCUGCCUGCGUGGGGCUGGACACAGCUGAGGACUGCUGCAGAUCUUCAUUGAGCGGAGGCUGUUCUACGUGUGCAAAGGCACAGAAGGGUCCUCGGGGACAGCUGCCAGACUGCUGCAUAUCAUUGCACUUGGUGGAUUUGUAGAUCUCUGGAUGGAACUGCUGCUCUGUGCGAGUGUGGCAGUAUUGGCACGAGUCUCCAUUUUCACACUUACUAGGAUCUCCC